GUGCCCGUACGCCCCCUCCCUCGCGCCGCACGGCCCGUCUCCCUCUCUCUCGCUCUCCCACUCGCACCCGCGCCUCUCACAAAUUCCGCUCCCGCACGCGCGACGCCGGAAACCGCUCCGCCAUCAGCGCUCCCCUCCCUAUCAGCCGUCGCGCCGUCCUCUGCCUCACCGAUCUGCCACCGCCGCCGGCUCGCCCUCCACCGAUCCCCAUCGCCUGUCCUCCGCCAGGAUUCACGUCGCCGCUGACGCCUUCCACGCCGUUCUGCUCCACCGAUCCCCGGCGCACGAAGUCCUCCCGUCGCCUGCACGCGUUGACGCCGGAAAGGCGGAAAUCGCUCCGCCAUCAGCUGUCCACCUCUUCAACCAUCUCUCCUCCGUCGCCGACGCAUUGGUGCCUCAGCCCCUCUCCACCCCCUCCCAUUCCAAAACCUAGCCGCUUAUUGCUCAAAAUUAUAAUGGCGCCGUCGUCGAUUCCCCACCACCGGAUGGUUGUCGACCAUUGCGCAUCCUCGCGGUGUCCUCCGGCCGUUGCCGCCGCCCGAAUUCGUGGCCGACGCAGCGUCUCCCCGGUCCCCAGCGCCGCCGCCAAGAUCUCCAUCGGGCUAGCGCCGCCAGUCCACGGACGACCCCCAGUCCAAGCUCCUGCCUCGUCGCUGAUCCCCUGUCUCCAGAACCCCGCAGUCAAAAGCAUCUACGCUGAUCCUCCAUCACUCUGUCUGCAGUUGAAUGCACCGAUCCUCUCCAGAUCACGGCGAAAAGCGCUCGCUGUUUAGAUCACAGCACUCAACGAUAAAAAACAACAUUUAUGCGACAUCGGCAGCAGUGAUCUGCCGUGCGUGACCCCGCCGAUUAGAGACAUCCUGUUCCCAUAUCUGCUGUUUCCCAUCGACACCCAGUGCUCCACUCAGGAGAUCGUCGUGCGUGACUUGCCUAUCGGAGACCUCCUGUGCCCAUAUCCUGCUGUUUCCCAUCGACAUCCUCAGUUCAUCAUUACCUUAAUUGAAGGUUGGUACGUAGGCAUGCCAAAAAUCUACCAUCAUUUGAUUGUACAACCUGUAAAUAAAUAUGCUGGAGAUGGAGUGAUCAGAAUGAAUAACAAUGUCAUCCAUCAGAUCGCCUUUGGCUUUGAACAAGCUCUAUGAGAUGGUCAAAGAUUUUUUAAUCUUCUGCUUACCAUUAAUUGGUUACCUGAUAGGAGCCAAGGUCACAGUAAUAGAGGGAGGCUUAAUGAAUAUUCCCUUGAUUGAAUUUUUCUGACUCCAUAUGUAUAAUAAAAAGUUAGUAUGGCCAUAUUAUUUGGGUAUAACCCUGUUAGGAACCCAAAGGCAUAAAAUUCAGACUAGGGAAAACUGCUCCCCUUUUUUCUAAUAUAGAAAUACUUCCAGCUGGAAGCUGCUGGUCAUUUGUUA